rnacentral:rRNA from 1 species
UCGGGAAUUUUGGGCAAUGGGCGUAAGCCUGAUCCAGCCACGCCGCGUGAGUGAUGAAGGCCUUCGGGUUGUAAAGCUCUGUGGGUAGGGACGAAAACGGUCCGGAAGAAACGACGGAUCCUUGACGGUACCUACUUAGCAAGCACCGGCUAACUCUGUGCCAGCAGCCGCGGUAAUACGAAGGGAGCUAGCGUUGUUCGGAAUCACUGGGCGUAAAGCGCACGUAGGCGGAUAGUUAAGUCAGGGGUGAAAUCCUGGGGCUCAACCCCAGAACUGCCUUUGAUACUGGCUGUCUCGAGGUCGAGAGAGGUUGGUGGAAUUCCUAGUGUAGAGGUGAAAUUCGUAGAUAUUAGGAAGAACACCAGUGGCGAAGGCGGCCAACUGGCUCGAUACUGACGCUGAGGUGCGAAAGCGUGGGGAGCAAACAGGAUUAGAUACCCAAGUAGUCCCUGAGCGGGCUGGCAAGGCGCAU